rnacentral:rRNA from 1 species
GGGUUGUGAGGUUAAGCGACCAAGCGUACACGGUGGAUGCCCUGGCAGUCAGAGGCGAUGAAGGACGUGCUAAUCUGCGAAAAGCGCCGGUAAGGUGAUAUGAACCGUUAUAACCGGCGAUGUCCGAAUGGGGAAACCCAGUGUGACUCGUCACACUAUCAUUAACUGAAUCCAUAGGUUAAUGAGGCGAACCGGGGGAACUGAAACAUCUAAGUACCCCGAGGAAAAGAAAUCAACCGAGAUUCCCCCAGUAGCGGCGAGCGAACGGGGAGGAGCCCAGAGCCUGAAUCAGCAUGUGUGUUAGUGGAAGCGUCUGGAAAGGCGCGCGAUACAGGGUGAGAGCCCCGUACACAAAAGCGCACAUGCUGUGAGCUCGAUGAGUAGGGCGGGACACGUGGUAUCCUGUCUGAAUAUGGGGGGACCAUCCUCCAAGGCUAAAUACUCCUGACUGACCGAUAGUGAACCAGUACCGUGAGGGAAAGGCGAAAAGAACCCCGGCGAGGGGAGUGAAACAGAACCUGAAACCGUGUACGUACAAGCAGUGGGAGCCCCACCACUAAGCCAGUGGUGAACUCCACAUACGCAUCCUUUGCGGAAGAUGCGGUUAACGGAGCGAAAGCGACGUUCAACCUCAGAAGAAGCAGAGGGGGCUUAGUGGUGGGGUGACUGCGUACCUUU